rnacentral:rRNA from 1 species
GAUGAACGCUGGCGGCGUGCCUAAUACAUGCAAGUCGAGCGAACAGACGAGGAGCUUGCUCCUCUGACGUUAGCGGCGGACGGGUGAGUAACACGUGGAUAACCUACCUAUAAGACUGGGAUAACUUCGGGAAACCGGAGCUAAUACCGGAUAACAUGUUGAACCGCAUGGUUCAACAGUGAAAGACGGUCUUGCUGUCACUUAUAGAUGGAUCCGCGCCGCAUUAGCUAGUUGGUAAGGUAACGGCUUACCAAGGCAACGAUGCGUAGCCGACCUGAGAGGGUGAUCGGCCAAACUGGAACUGAAACACGGUCCAGACUCCUACGGGAGGCAGCAGUAGGGAAUCUUCCGCAAUGGGCGAAAGCCUGACGGAGCAACGCCGCGUGAGUGAAGAAGGUCUUCGGAUCGUAAAACUCUGUUAUUAGGGAAGAACAAAUGUGUAAGUAACUAUGCACGUCUUGACGGUACCUAAUCAGAAAGCCACGGCUAACUACGUG